rnacentral:rRNA from 1 species
CCUACGGGAGGCAGCAGUGAGGAAUAAUGGUCAAUGGACGAGAGUCUGAACCAGCCAAGUAGCGUGAAGGAUGACUGCCCUAUGGGUUGUAAACUUCUUUUAUAAAGGAAUAAAACGAGGCACGUGUGCCUUUUUGCAUGUACUUUAUGAAUAAGGAUCGGCUAACUCCGUGCCAGCAGCCGCGGUAAUACGGAGGAUCCGAGCGUUAUCCGGAUUUAUUGGGUUUAAAGGGAGCGUAGAUGGGUUGUUAAGUCAGUUGUGAAAGUUUGCGGCUCAACCGUAAAAUUGCAAUUGAUACUGGCAGUCGUGAGUACAGUUGAGGUAGGCGGAAUGCGUGGUGUAGCGGUGAAAUGCUUAGAUAUCACGAAGAACCCCGAUUGCGAAGGCAGCUUACUAAACUGUGACUGACAUUGAUGCUCGAAAGUGUGGGUAUCAAACAGGAUUAGAUACCCUUGUAGUC